UACGUAGGGCGCAAGCGUUAUCCGGAAUUAUUGGGCGUAAAGAGCUCGUAGGCGGUUUGUCGCGUCUGCCGUGAAAGUCCGGGCUCAACUCCGGAUCUGCGGUGGGUACGGGCAGACUAGAGUGAUGUAGGGGAGACUGGAAUUCCUGGUGUAGCGGUGAAAUGCGCAGAUAUCAGGAGGAACACCGAUGGCGAAGGCAGGUCUCUGGCAUUAACUGACGCUGAGGAGCGAAAGCAUGGGAGCGAACAGG
rnacentral:rRNA from 1 species